UAGAAGACAAAGAGAAAAAACUUCAGUCAGUACUAAGAUUUUCUAACUAUUGAGUAUAAAGUCAGGGCUGUGGAGAUGGCUUGGUGGUUAAGAGCACCGGCUGUUCUUCCGGGAGACCUAGGUUCCACUCUUGGCAUCCACAUGGCAAAAACCAUCUGUAAUCCCAGUUGGUAGGUGCCCACAUGUGCUGUGUGCUUCACAUACAUGCUGGCAAACGCCCAAACACAUAAAAAAAAUAAAAGAAGAAAGCCCCCCAAGUUAUUGCCUUUACUGCAGAUUGCUCUCACAGCUGGCCAAAACACCAUUUUCAAAUGUAAAAAAUUUGAGCAAUGUUAAGUAACAGCAGCCAUAGUAUCUAUCAUUCUGGGAAGUCAUUUUUCAGUUAUCCAUCUCUUAUGUAAAACCACGUAAAUGGCCUUGGAAAUAGGACCGAUUCCAAAGACAGCCAUGGGCUUUGUCCUGUAUUCUAGCCCCUCCCUUUUCCUCUGAUGGUCUUCAGCAAAGCCUUGCUUUUGAACUUAAACCUGCUGGUCCUCAGCGCCCUCUGCCACCGGAGAAUGGACUCCCUGUCCGCCCGGCUCGGCCUCAAUGAGCUCUCCCCACGUGUGGGAAGACUAACCCUUCUCCUGAUUUAAAUGCUACUGAGGCUCAGAUAUCCAUGCUCCACACACAGGGCAGAGGAUGUGGGUGCUCUCAACUGAGACAGGCUGCAAGGAGGCUGUGAGGGGCCUGGAGUGGGCAUUAAGAUGGAGCUAAACUUUGUCUCUAGAAACAGCUGCCCCCAUGCAGACUCCUGCAUCAGGUGUGGACUUCGGUUCACUGCAUUAAGUAGCCUUCAUAUCCAUUCAGAAAAAAAGAAAGAAAGAAAGAAAGAAAGAAAGAAAGAAAGAAAGAAAGAAAGAAAGAAAGAAAGAAAGAAAACUUUAUGUUCUUAUCCUGGUAAAGAUGGACAGCUUAAGACUACACUGGCACCUACUACAAAAUGCAAAUUAGAUAGACAUGUUCAGGGCUCACUGAGCUCCACAUAGCACACUUCUAAUCAAUUUAAAUUACACACAUUAUAUGCCACGGAUUAAAAACAAAAAGACCGAUGUCUAACUAGAAGUCAACUAGGGUUGGGCAAUGAUGCACAUGCCUAUAAUCUGUGGCAAGAGGACGGCUUGGACCCAGGGGUUCCUGGGCAUCAUUCAAAGCCACCAGCUCAAAACCAACAACAAAAACCACCCCACAGUCAACAAGGAGCAAAAGCAUGGGACUUCUGCAAAGUCUUUUCCACAUCCUCUCUACUGGCUUCAAAUUUCUACUCAUCCAUUCAAAUGUUCUCCACUUUGUUGUUGUUGAGGGAGGAGCUCACUCAGGCGGGCCAUGCAGAUCUCAAAAUAGCUGGGUAGCUAAGGACGGCUUUGAAAUGACCCCUCCAACAUCCACUUUCCAGGUGCUGCAGCUAUAGCCACCACCAUUCCCAGCUCGUCAGUCAGAAUUCCUAAGUGACUUCUAGAUCCUUCAGCUGGUGCCCCAUAGGAUAUACAGCCAUAGUCCCAUACAAUUUGCUUUUAAUGCAGGGGAACGAACAUGACCUCCACUGGUGUAGUAUUUGCAGUGAGUGAGUUCUUCAGAGCCUUAAAUUUGUCUUGUUAUUAAUUAGAAAAAAAUAUGGACACUCUGAAAAGUGAUCCUUUUAGGUUAAAAAUGAAUAAAGCUGAGUUCUAGUGAGUGGUACGCAUAUCGGAGUAUCCAUGAGUAAAAACAUUUGUAGCCAAAUGAAAAUGCGUAAGAUAUUAAGAUAUACGGCUGGGUAGAUGAACCCAGGAGUACAGUCGUGCUGACGCAUGUGUGUUAAAGCUUUAACCACAGAUGCUUUAGUAGGAAGAUGGGAACAUGACUGCACGCUGUAUUACUCAACGUCUGUAUGUUGGAAGUGCUCAUAAUUAUGAUACAAAGGUGAAAAUAUGCCAAAACGCCUAUGUCCUACCUUGAUUCUACAAAUAUAGGUAUUAUUGUAAAUAGAGAUUAAUGUAAAUGACCCCCCAGGAUCAAGUAUAAUGUGAACUUUGCAUUCUUUUCUUCUCAUUUAGACAUUUUUGUAAAGUGACUAAAAUGCAAAAAUUACAUUAAUUAAAAGAAGGUAAGUGUAAAACAGGAUUUCAAUAUAAACCCACACUACAAAUCUUCAUUCAUUCAUUCAUCAAGUAAUGCUUUAAUUUUCAUGCAGUGGUUAAAAAAGGUAAAAGGAAAGAGUGUGUUAUGCGUGCAUCUCAGAAGAGGGGACCAAAAGCAGUUAGGGGGAAAGACUUCAGUAGCAUGAAAGACUACAAGUAAAAAAAAAAAAAAAAAAAAAAGAAACAAACCCACUCCAGCAUAAAAUUCUAGGUAAAAAGCUAGCUACCCUCUAAUUUAAAAGUCAAGCCCAGGCAAAAAUAUAUCUGGAGCUGUAUUCUGUACACCGUGUGUAUGCACACGGACGCACACACGCUUGCAUGUUGGGGUUGGAAGAAUGAGUUUCCCUCUGACUACUGGUUCCUCAGCAAAGGUUCCACAGACCCUGCUUUGUAGCCUCUCAUUCUCUGUAGAAGGAAGAGAACUAAUACAUUAAAAAUUAAAACCGCAUUUAUAAUAGUUUCACAAAGAGAUUUACACCUUCACAGGCGGCACAGCUCUUCUGUGAUCUAUUACCUAUGAAGCACAUGUUUACACAACCUUCCGCUGGCUUCCUGGCCUCCUAACCCAAAGCCAGUCAGGGUUGGGGUCAGAGUGCAUGUACCCCACUGAUUCUAGAAUGGUUAAGUUGUGCCUAAACUGAAAAUAAACAAAGAGAUAAAUACAUAAGUUGUGCCAGAUAGUUUUAUGUGAACAUAGCACGAGCUAAAGUCAUCCGAGAGGAGAGAACCUCAAUUAAGAAAAUGCCUCCAUAAAAUCCACCUGCAGACAAGCCUAUAGGAAUAUUUUAAAUUAGUGAUUGAUGGGGGAGAGUCCAGCACAUGCAGGGUGGUGCCAUCCCUGGGCUGGUGGUACUGGGUUCUAUAAGAAAUCAGACUGAACGCAUCAUGAGGAGAAAGCCAAUAAGCCGCACCCCUGUAUGGCCUGUACAUGAGCUCCUGCCUCCAGGCUCUCACCUUCAGUGAUGAAAAGUGAUGUGGAAGUGUGAGCCAAAUAAGCUCUUUUCUCCAAAACUUGCUUUUGGUUAUGGUGUCUCAUCACAGCAAUAAUAACCCUGACUAGGACAGAAAUUAAUCAAGAAUCCAUGACUGAAAUUCACUAAGAUCUACAGAAGAAACCUAGGGCAGGCAUGAUGGCUCAGUGAAUGCACUGGCUGUUCAAGACAGCACCAGGUUCCAGGAGAGUUCAAAGCAAACAGAAAUACUCGUUCCUCUUUUUAAACUUUUUCCUAUUCUGGAAAUCUUCUCCUUCUAUCCCUUUAAAAAUUAAUCUUUAAGUUCACAUACAAAAAUCUGCCCUUCCUUUAACUCAAGCUGGAAUGAUGCAAGUGUGUGAGGAAAUGAUCAUUACACGGUAAGAUAGUGGCUGGCUGGCAAGCAGGGGCGUGGCUUCUAGAUGGCUGUGGAUGCCGUGGUGGGGAGAAACCUUUAUCCUAUAGAAGAUGGCAAAAUUUGGAGCAUGGAGGUGACAAGGAGAGAGAACAGCAAGGGACUGUGACAUCUGGGGCUGGGAGGUCAGUGAAGACUGGCUUAGGGGUGGUUGGACUGGAGUAAGCCUGUGCCAUGGGGUCUGGCCUACUCCGCGGGCCACAUGGAACAACUAAAGCAUUCUGGGAGACACAAGGCUAUGGGGUUUGAGGAAGGUCAACCCCAUAGCAGUGUGGAGGAUGGGUUAGGAACAAGACAGGAAGUUGUCUUGAAAACAAUUCUCCCUAGUAAAGUGACCAGGGACAGCAGGGACACAGUACCUGGUCACCUCAUCACUAUCCUCAGUGGCCCAGCAGCUGACUGAUCUCCCAGGCACCACAUGGUGCUGA
rnacentral:sRNA from 1 species